UUCUUCUCCAGAGUUGCCGAGGCCUCACGCCCUCGCCAACUCUGGAGAAGAAU
ensembl:miRNA gmo-mir-11933 gmo-mir-11933